rnacentral:rRNA from 1 species
GCAAGUCGAACGCAUUUUCUUUCACCGUAGCUUGCUACACCGAAAGAAAAUGAGUGGCGAACGGGUGAGUAACACGUGGGUAACCUGCCCAUCAGCGGGGGAUAACACUUGGAAACAGGUGCUAAUACCGCAUAAUUUCAUUUACCGCAUGGUAGAUGGAUGAAAGGCGCUUUUGCGUCACUGAUGGAUGGACCCGCGGUGCAUUAGCUAGUUGGUGGGGUAACGGCCUACCAAGGCUGCGAUGCAUAGCCGACCUGAGAGGGUGAUCGGCCACACUGGGACUGAGACACGGCCCAGACUCCUACGGGAGGCAGCAGUAGGGAAUCUUCGGCAAUGGACGCAAGUCUGACCGAGCAACGCCGCGUGAGUGAAGAAGGUUUUCGGAUCGUAAAACUCUGUUGUUAGAGAAGAACAAGGAUGAGAGUGGAAAGUUCAUCCCUUGACGGUAUCUAACCAGAAAGCCACGGCUAACUACGUGCCAGCAGCCGCGGUAAUACGUAGGUGGCAAGCGUUGUCCGGAUUUAUUGGGCGUAAAGCGAGCGCAGGCGGUCUUUUAAGUCUGAUGUGAAAGCCCCCGGCUUAACCGGGGAGGGUCAUUGGAAACUGGGAGACUUGAGUGCAGAAGAGGAAAGCGGAAUUCCAUGUGUAGCGGUGAAAUGCGUAGAGAUCGGGAGGAACACCAGUGGCGAAGGCGGCCUACUGGGCUUUAACUGACGCUGAGGCACGAAAGUAUGGGUAGCAAACAGGAUUAGAUACCCUGGUAGUCCAUACCGUAAACGAUGAUUACUAGGUGUGGGGGGUCUAACCCCCUCCGUGCCGGAGUAAACACAAUAAGUAAUCCACCUGGGGAGUACGACCGCAAGGUUGAAACUCAAAGGAAUUGACGGGGGCCCGCACAAGCAGUGGAGUAUGUGGUUUAAUUCGAAGCAACGCGAAGAACCUUACCAGGUCUUGACAUCCAACUAACGAAGCAGAGAUGCAUAAGGUGCCCUUCGGGGAAGUUGAGACAGGUGGUGCAUGGUUGUCGUCAGCUCGUGUCGUGAGAUGUUGGGUUAAGUCCCGCAACGAGCGCAACCCUUGUUUCUAGUUGCUACGCAAUGAGCACUCUAGAGAGACUGCCGUUGACAAAACGGAGGAAGGUGGGGACGACGUCAAAUCAUCAUGCCCCUUAUGACCUGGGCUACACACGUACUACAAUGGCCAGAACAAAGAGAAGCAAGACCGCGAGGUGGAGCAAAACUCAAAAAACUGGUCCCAGUUCGGAUUGCAGGCUGAAACCCGCCUGCAUGAAGUUGGAAUUGCUAGUAAUCGCGGAUCAUCAUGCCGCGGUGAAUACGUUCCCGGGCCUUGUACACACCGCCCGUCACACCAUGGGAGCCGGUAAUACCC